UUUCACUCCUUUCCAGAACAGCUGCCUCAAAGCUCCUCACAACCCUGCACACCCCUCCUCCUGGGCCGCCCUUCCCGCCUUCCGGAGGGAGAAUGCAUUCCUUUGACUCCGCUCAGCAAACCUAGGAUGGGGACAUGGGACUCGUGCGCAGCUGGGGAAGCCAGGGACGAAAAUACAGCCACUGCCCUCAAGGAACUUCUGAUUUUGUGGGAGAUAUUGACAGGGCUGUAAAACAAGCAAACACACAAAGAAGACUCUGCGACAGAAACUAGAUGUCCACUCGCCAGCCAGGUCUGAUGUGUGAACCACCUCUACGGUAGGCUGGCUGGAGCCCUGCUGAAAGGUGGCUCUUCCAUCCAGGCCACAGUGACGAGAGAUAGACCAGUCAGUCAACAAUCAUUCUCUGAGAAUCUCCUGUCACCUCUUUGUUGUGCCCUCAGUGCCUGGACAGUGUUCCACUUGAUGCUGAUCAAAAGGAAGAUGAGCUGUGGAUAAAGCUGACACCUGGAGAGGAAGGCAGAGCUGAGAGAACAGCAGAAUAUGAUGCUGGAGCCCAGAUCAUGCAAUGCCUGAAACUUACCCUACUCCAGUUAUCCAUGAGGAAACUGAGGCAGUGAGAGGUUAAGUAAUUUGCCCAAGGCCACACAACGAGCCAAGAAAUGAUAUUUGAACCCAAGUUGUUUGUGGCCAUGAGGUUUCCAAGGAAUGUAUGUACCCAAGAAGGCUCUGACAAGCAAAUGGCAGAGAAGGGGAGCAUAAAAUUAUGACACGUGUUACAAUCAGCGAUGAAAUACAGGCACCUACUUCCCAUAAUGAGAGGCUGUGAGAAGACCAGAUGGGACAAUGGGUCUGAAACACUCACCACAGGGCCUGGCAGAGAGCAGUGAUGGUAUCGAUGUCGAUGGUUAAAAAUCUGAUUAAUAAUAAUGGACCUACUUGGCUGGUAUUACGACAUGUAACUGUUGCCCAGCUUUCUACGAGUAACCCCUCUUCUGACCCUUCACUGAAUGAUCCUGGAGGAGGAGAAACCAUAAUAAGUGCUUAUUUCUUUUAUAGCUCUCAGAAAGAUCAAUAAA